rnacentral:rRNA from 1 species
AUGAACGCUGGCGGCGUGCCUAAUACAUGCAAGACGAGCGAACAGACGAGGAGCUUGCUCCUCUGACGUUAGCGGCGGACGGGUGAGUAACACGUGGAUAACCUACCUAUAAGACUGGGAUAACUUCGGGAAACCGGAGCUAAUACCGGAUAAUAUAUUGAACCGCAUGGUUCAAUAGUGAAAGACGGUUUUGCUGUCACUUAUAGAUGGAUCCGCGCCGCAUUAGCUAGUUGGUAAGGUAACGGCUUACCAAGGCGACGAUGCGUAGCCGACCUGAGAGGGGGAUCGGCCCCACGGGAAUAGAAACAGGGUCCAAACCCCCAGGGGGGGGAGCGGGGGGGAAUCUCCCGCAAGGGGGGAAACCCGAAGGGGGCAACCCCGCGGGAGGUAGAAAGGUCUUCGGAUCGUAAAACUCUGUUAUUAGGGAAAAAAAAAGGUGUAAGUAACUAUGCACGUUUUGACGGUACCUAAUCAAAAAGCCACGGCUAACUACGU